GAAUUUGAGUUGUACAUGUGGUCACAUGAUCUACAUUCACAGAACUGACUGCACAAUGGAUUAAAAUGGCUUCCUGUGGUCUGAUGUGCUACUUCCUAAUUUGUCGUCGCUUUUCUCAAAUUUGCUGUAAUGGAGUUGAUCGUUUUCAUAGUGAUUCAGCUCCUGAUGGAGGUUCAGUCCUACACAUCCCCUACUGUAAAAAUAUCUCCAGAUGUCAUAAGAGAGUCCAGCUCAGUGAAGAUCAGCUGUGAGACGCCAAAUGUUACAGUGAAUCAGUGUUAUUUCAACACAAACAGUGAGGAGAAGAAUGUAAAAACCAGUUGGAGAUGUGAGCUGGAUCUCACUGGUGCUGAAGUGUUCAGAUGGGCAGCUGUAACAUCACCUGGAUCACUCGACAUUUACUGUUACUACACAAUACAUGGGAUUGAUAAACCAUCACGCCAUUCUCCUCCUGCCACAGUGACGGUUCUAGCUGUAACUGUAAUGUCCACUUCUGAAACCCUAACAUACACUACAAUUGACCUCCAUUCCAAGACAAACCUGUCAACAAGUACAACAAAAAAAACGAUGAUUUCCAUUACAAACUCCACUUUGCCUGGUAACAGUAGAAUAUCAGAACAUAUUUCAACAGAAGCGUCCACUCAAAAAGCUUCACAAAUACACACAUCAACAAUGGCUGUCACUUUCACAACAGCAUCCCCCAGAACAGCUGUUUCUAAUGUUCACACUUCAAUGGCUCAUCCGACAGAUCCACAAACAGGCACAUGGUUUUUAGUGCUGGUUUCCACUGGUGUUGCUGUAUUCUUGUCUGGACUCACAGGACUCAUCUGUCUGUGUCGGUUUGCAAGUCAAAAAAUAAGAAAACUAUCAAUAAAAAUGGAAGUGCCCAGUCAAGGAAUUAGUAUGAGUGGUUCUGGAUCUGCAGAUAUAUAUUCCCUGAUCACUUCUGUACCAGAAACAUCUCAGCCCAUAUCUGGAGGCCUCGAACACCCAGAGUCACAUCAGGAGAGCACAGCAGAUCCCACAGACACUCACUCUUUCAUUAUGUCUGUAAAUUCAGUUUACCAGCCAUCAGAUGUUUUAGUCAAUAAACAACAGAAACAGGAAAAUCCAGAGGAAAAUGAGAAUGUUUAUCACCUGUACUCCAUGAUCCCUGACAAACCAGUUCACUCAAAUGCAGAAGAUCACGUGUACAGUUUGGUGAAGAUGCACUGACAAAUCCCAUGUCUGUGUUCAUUAUGUAUUGCGACUAUAAUUAAAGUGUAUUUACUUUCAGACAAAAACAGUAGGUGUUUAUUUUUUUAUUAUUCAAUGUUUGGUGUGGAAUAUACUGUGACCUCAGUGAAUAUCCAGAGCAUCUUCUCUGGCAAACCCACUAGUACCACUUGUGGAGCUUGGGCAUUCAAUAAGAGCUGAACUAAAAUUGUAAUGAUAAAUGAAAUCUUUUACUUCUUUUCUAAAGAAAUUGAACCAUCUGAAGGUUUGAGCCAAAUGUUUUUUUUCUUAUAAGUUUGUUGUAUUUAAAAACGGCUUAAAUCAGUUUUUUCAAAUUCCAUCAUGUGACGUUAGCUUCUCCUCC
ensembl:lncRNA uncharacterized LOC107582151